GACGUAGGGCGCGAGCGUUGUCCGGAAUUAUUGGGCGUAAAGAGCUCGUAGGCGGUCUGUCGCGUCGGUCGUGAAAACUUGGGGCUUAACCCUGAGCUUGCGGUCGAUACGGGCAUGACUGGAGUUCGGUAGGGGAGACUGGAAUUCCUGGUGUAGCGGUGAAAUGCGCAGAUAUCAGGAGGAACACCGGUGGCGAAGGCGGGUCUCUGUGCCGAUACUGACGCUGAGGAGCGAAAGCGUGGGGAGCGAACAGG
rnacentral:rRNA from 1 species